rnacentral:lncRNA from 1 species
AUGAAGCUGUUACUCAGGAUCGCACCACUUGCAGUAACGAGCAAGGUGAUCAACAUGUUAGCAGUAGUAGCAUGCAGUUAGUGGAGAUCAAGAAUGAUUCCAAGAUUGGAGAUUUUGAUAAGAGCUCAAAUUCAGACACUGAAGAUCUGCAAAAGUUGGUGGAUCAGCGCCUAGAGAGCAAUGACAAUUCAGAUGAUGUCGCUGCUUCACCUGCUUUGCCCACAACCACUGUUAAGGAGAAGAAUUUGGAUGAUAGUGACUUUGGGGAAGUAAAUGAGAGAAAGG